AGUAUGAGCUGCAGCCAGUUGGUGAAAGGUGUGAACAAGACAGCUGUUGCAUUUAGUUUGUGGUGCUGCUAUUAUUAUUCUUGAAUGUGUUGGUUAUUCUGAUUCUUGUCCAGCACUGGGUCAAGAUCAAUCCCGGUUCCAUUUCUAAAACGGACACAGAAUUUUAUUCCUGCACUUGAACAGCAUUCUCCAUUGAAUUGGACUCGGACUUCUUCCGGGAAAAAAGAGGAUUCUGAAUCUGUUUCCGGUGACGAAAUCGAUUCCAGCAAAGCUUCGGAAUCCUCUCUCAAUUCAGGAGCCGCUUCCAGCACUAAUUUCCCCUCGGAUAUCGACUCCAUUUCCACAACAGGUACAUAUUUGACCAAUAUCUUUAAGCAUCCCACACAGAAACCAGAAACAAUUCACAAAAAAGCAACAACGACUGCUAUGUAGAACUCGACUAAUAAGUUUCUAAAGAGGAAUUUCAAACGAUCGUUAAAGUUGAGAAAGAAGAAAAUAACGGCUCGAUACAAUCAAAUCAAAGAAGGACAAAACCAGAGAAGAGACGCCGCAAAUGUUACUUGUCGUACAAGUCCUGUCGUUGGUGGCGCGUUUUGAUGUCAGGUGUCGUUAAAUUACAUUCCGACUUGCAACUACACCGACUUUGCAACCAGAUUCUUUAUUGCCAUUUGCAAUGGAAUGAUCAGUUUAGGUUCGCCGUUCGCGGAUCUUGGAUAUUCCCAGUUUUUACAACAAGUUCCUGAAUAUUGUUGUACUAACCACAACAUCAGCUACCUUUACCUACCUACUAACAUCAGGAUGAUUGGAUGAAGAAUGUAAAAAACUUGGGCAUUUACUAGGAUCCCGGAUCCGUGACCGUUCAGCGUUCAGUCGUUCGUUUAUGCUAAGAAAUCUGUCGCUUGUCACUAGGUGUGUGAAAUUGUGUCCAGCAGGUGAUGGAGAGUCUGUUCUUCAGUGAGUGACGACUGACGAAAUCAAUCGCCGCCAUUUGCCUUUGACGCAAUGGAUGGAAACGUGCUGCAGCUGCUGCAUCAUAAUGAUGUUUUUCGCUUUUACAUUUUAGAAGUGAUGAGGUAUUUGGUAUUUCCACGCCAUUCGACUAAGCUUAAUCGAAAGUGAACAAUUCUAUAGCAUAUAAGUGAAUCGUGAAAGUUUUGACUUUUCGAAAGAUCCAUUUUUUAAUCCAUUACUUUCAU